CCAAACUUGGUCAUUUAGAGGAAGUAAAAGUCGUAACAAGGUCUCCGUUGGUGAACCAGCGGAGGGAUCAUUACAGGAUUCGCAAGUCUCCCGUAAACCCCUGUGAACAUACCUAUACUCGUUGCCUCGGCGGGUGCUCCGGUGCGAACCGGGGCGCCAGCCCGCCGGCGGCUCGCUACUCUGUAUUGAAUACUGCAUCUCCGAGCAAUUGCAAACGAAUCAAAACUUUCAACAACGGAUCUCUUGGUUCUGGCAUCGAUGAAGAACGCAGC
rnacentral:misc_RNA from 1 species